GUAAUGGCCUANCAAGCCGAUUACCGGUGCNGGCUUUGAGAGAAGGAGCCCGGAGAUGGACANUGAGAAAAGGGUCCAGGCCCUACGGGGCGCAGCAGGCGCGAAAACUUUGCAAUGUGCGAAAGCACGACAAGGUUAAUCCGAGUGCAACAUGCUGAAUGUAGCUUUUGGUAAAUGUAAAUAGUUUAUUGAAUAAGGGGAGGGAAAGUCUGGUGUCAGCCGCCGCGGUAAUACCAGCUCCCCGAGUGGUCGGGNCGAUUAUUGGGCCUAAAGCAUCCGUAGCCGGUUCUGUAGGUCUUAUGUUAAAAUCAAUUGCUCAACAAUUGAACUGCAUGAGAUACCACAAAACUAGGAGGCGGGAGAGGUGGACGGUACUCCACGGGUAGGGGUAAAAUCCUCUGAACCGUGGAAGACCACCAGUGGCGAAGGCGGUCCACCAGAACGCGCUCGACGGUGAGGGAUGAAAGCUGGGGUAGCGAACCGGAUUAGAUACCCGGGUAGUCCCAGCUGUAAACGAUGCAAGCUAGGUGAUGCAUCAGCCACGUGUUGAUGCAGUGCCGCAGGGAAGCCGUUAAGCUUGCCGCCUGGGGAGUACGGUCGCAAGGCUGAAACUUAAAGGAAUUGGCGGGGGAGCACCACAAGGGGUGAAGCCUGCGGUUCAAUUGGAGUCAACGCCGGGAACCUUACCAGGAGAGACAGCAGAGUGAAGGUCAAGCUGAAGACUUUACCAGACAAGCUGAGAGGAGGCGCAUGGCCGUCGACAGCUCGUGCCGUGAGGCGUCCUGUUAAGUCAGGCAACGAGCGAGACCCUUGCCAUUAAUUGCUUCCAUCGAUCGAAAGGUUGGCGGAGCUAGUUAAUGGGACUGCCGUUGAUAAAACGGAGGAAGGAAGGGGCCACGGCAGGUCAGUAUGCCCCGAAACUCUUGGGCCACACGCGGGCUGCAAUGGUAGGCACAAUAGGUACCGAAUUCGAGAGAAUGAGGCAAUCCCAAAAUCCUACCCCAGUUGUGAUUGAGGGCUGCAACUCGCCCUCAUGAAUCUGGAAUCCCUAGUAACCGCGUGUCAACAUCGCGCGNUGAAUACGUCCCUGCUCCUUGCACACACCGCCCGUCGCUUCACCCGAGUUGGGUUUGGGGGANAUAGUGUCUCAU
rnacentral:rRNA from 1 species